CACUACAUGGAUAGAAACAAGGACUUGCUGGGAUGACUGACUUGCUGCAGCCUCUAUAAGCAACUGAUCUACAAGGCAUUAUUCCAUUGACAACUCAAGGCUUCAUUCUACAGAGAAUGAAGUAUUACCUGAAUUCCAUGUUGUGGCUGAAGCAAAAGAAGGGUAUAUGGUGAGUGGCUGUAGGUUGGGGAAAGGGAAAUGUUGUAUCGCUGUAGAAUCAUCGAAAGAGCAAUCUUUGUUUCUGUCAUUGCAAAGCUCAUACCGACACAAGAUCGAGGUCCCAAUCCAAAGGGAGCAUAUGCAGCUGCAUUAUGUUUGGUGGCAUUUGCAGUCCCUUCUGCGAAUCUCUCAGGUUUGAAGAGAUUGACAUCAUCUCCCCAUAACUGAGGGUCAUGGUGAAGUGCCACGAUUGGAACAACCAACUGUAAAUCAGCUGGCAGGAUGAGCUUUCCCAAUUGAACUUCAUUUUCAACUGUUCUUGCCAUGCCACUUACAGGGGGAUAUAGUCUUAAAGUUUCAUUAAUGAUCAUAGUCAUCUGUAUGCAGCAGAAGAGGAAUAAACAUAUCAAAUCUAUUCUGAUUUUCAAAAAUUCAAUCUACUAAAUGUUCAGUGAUGUGUCCAAGCAGAAGGAUUAGACUUGCUUACAGUCUUUAGUCUGCCAAUGCCUUCAGAAUGUGGAUUUUGGUUACCAAAGACCUCAAUCACCUCUCGUCUUGCUUUCUCCUGCCAAUCUGGAUUGAUUGCCAAAAGCAAGACUGUCCAUGCAAGUGCAGAAUUAGUAGUUUCCUGUCCAGCAAAGUAAAAUGUCUUGCAUUCAUCUACCAAAUCUUGUACUGAUAGCCUGUUCUUCUUGUCUGCGUCAUGGUAAGCAUUUACAAGUAAUCCAAGAAAAUCAGUGCCAAAGCUGUUGGCUUCUCCAUUAACUACUUUCUCUUCUCGUUUCUUAACUACCUCCAUCACAGAAUUGUGUAUUCCUUUUACAAGUUUGUCUGAUUCAAUUUCAUCAGCAGUUUUACAGAAGUUACUGCAAAGGCGAAACAAAUUUCCAACAACAUAUGAAGGCAAAAUAAAACAAAAAUCCACCUAGCUAUACAAGAGUAGUUUAACCAUUUGGGCAAAAGCUGCAUAAUAUGACUUCUAGUUAGUCUCCUUUCUCAUUAAAUCAGAAAUAACCUUAAGAGGAACUUACCUAAUGACAGGAAACUUAGUUUUAAACAGGUUUCUGUUUGUCAAGACAGACAACUUCAACAACAUGUCAAAAAUCUUUUUCCCAUCUAAGUAACUGCUACCAAAAGCUGUUCUUGAUAUGACUUCUGAAGUCAACAACCUAAAUUCUUCAAACACCUCAAUUUCUUUGCCUUCAAAUUGUUUCCACCUUUCCAGCAUGGUCUCAACACUAGCAAUCACUGCUGGUGUCAUGCUCUGCCAAAACCAUCACCCACACUUAUGAGUAACUUACACUUUGCCAGGAUUUGGUGCUUCUCUAAUGCAUUAAAUUCACAAAAACAUGAUCUAAAUAUGAAGUAUCUUACAUCAACACAUCUAUGACAAAAAUAAUUGUAGUAUUGGAUCAGAAGUUUACUUUUAAGCUGUCCCCAUGGAAAGCAUAAUUGGCCAACUUCCUUUGCCUUGCCCAUUUCUCACCUUCGGAUGUCACAAGCCCAUCCCCUAGUAUCUUAAGAGCGAACUCCUCGUCAUUCCACUUCCUUUCUCUACUUGUCCUUUUUGGAAAAGCUUUUUCACUACUUUUCAACACCUCUUUGACAAGCUCAGGCUCUGUGAUAAACAGUUGAGCUCUAGUGCCUGCCCAGGAAAGAUAGUUUUUCCCUAAUCCCACAGAAACAAAAGAACGUUAAUCUGUUUCUUAAAAAAAGGGUCUUAAAAUUAAAUGGGGGAAUUUAAUCUUACCAUAUGAGUUGAUCCGUGAAUAAACUGGAGGAUUGACUCUGGGCAAAAUAUCAUGUGAUAAAUUAGCCAUAGGCUUGCUUAAUGCGUCCCGUGUCAUUCUUUCGGUCUCUUUGUUGUUUCCAUGGAUGAAUUUGUAAGGAGGUCCUUUGAUUCCUUGCAAAUUCAUUGCAUACUGUAUCCGAAGUGGUGUCCACCAAUACUUGUGUAGGAUUUUGAUCAGAGCCAUGACCAGAUACAGGCACAGAGAGCCUGUAAGAAGGGCUGAUAGAUUUGCUGCAAUGGAAGUCAUUUGUAGAACCUGGCAAGGAAAACAGAUUUUCUGAUAAGUUCAUUCCCGAGAUAUAUCAGAUUUAUUACAUCUAGAAGGCGGUCACUUUUGGCCUCAUCUAGAAUUAUGGUCUAAUCAAUAGGUAUAGUCAAAUUCAACCGCAUGAGCAAUAAUUGCAGCCUGUUCAACGUUUCACGUUCACGUGGACAUAACUCAACGAAUAGGAGCAGUGAAAAUUAGUACAAUUUGCAAUAAAGAAAAGGGAAAAAACAAAAGUCAAAGCACGUUAUGUCUGAUGCAGAACAGAACUCUGUCCCGACAGAAAAAUAGUAGUAACCUAACCCAUUGACAAACACAACAAAUAAGUAAAGAUACAACAAAUAAGUAAAGAUUGCGCAUUGGCUUUCAAGAGUUUUACUUCUCCUAGUUGUCUUGUUGAACCUGAGAAGAUCAAUGUUCAAACUAAGGUUAAUUAGCGUUGGGGCUGGGCUUUCACCUCGAAAUCUUCGCCUAGUGCCUUAGACCCAACUUGAAAGUGUCAUCGAGUCUAAGUUUUGAUUCUAAUCAGGUACAAUGUCUAUAUAAGAAGUGUCCAAUAUAUAUGUCGAGGCUGAGAUGGCGAUGGCUUUCAUUUCUUGUGAGAAGCUUCUAUACCACUAGGUAGAACAUGUCAUAAAUUUACAUUAGUUACAAUCUAAACUACCUUUGCCAACGUCACAUCUUGCAAGUUACAGCUAGGAAGGACAAAGUUAUCAUAGUGCUGAUUCCUUGUAUAUGUAAUUUCUUUAUUAAAGUUAUUGAUCCUUGUUAAAAUCAAUCUGAGUUAUGUUUUUUUGGGUUACUUAACUUGAUAAGAGUACAAAAUCAAGUAUGUCAAAAUUCUAGGAUUUGCCGAAGGGUAAGAAAACAGAAAGAAUGACACAAUUGAAUGGUGUAUAUAUCGAGGUGUGAUAAAAAGAAUUCGGAUUCAAAAAUUUAUUUGAAAAAAAUUUGAAUUAUAAUUCACUUAAAUUCGAAUCGGUAAAAAGUUAAAAAAUUUAAACUUCAAAUGAUUUUAAUUUCAAAGUUUAAUUUAAAGUAGUAAUAAUUUAAAUUUAACAUUAAAAAUAACAAAUUUUAUCAAUAUUUAUUUUAAUUUAAUAUAUAUCCGAAUUUAAAUUGAUCUGAAUUCAAAACUAUUCAAACUCGUUGUCACCUGAACUCGAAAUGACUUGAUUUGACACUAGUCGUUUGCCGACUCUAAAAAAUAUUCGCAUACAAAUUAGGAGGCAGGCCAGUAGCAUACUGUCUUGCUGCUGUGAUGUGGUUGCUGAUGAUUGCUUGGCGGACAAGGGACAGGUGAGGGAAUUUCCAAGGCCAUAUUACUGUUUACUUCUAAAAGAUAUUCACAAACAAAUCCAUGCGCAGACAGAGUUGAAACAUUUUUGUUUGGCAUAUUAUACUAAUGAUUGAAAUGCUAUCAGUAUAUUGCCUGGAAUUACAUAUUAAAUGUAGCUGAUUUUGUUCAUACUCCCUAUUGAGAACGGGUAAGAUACCUUAUAAUUUCGAAGUAUCCGAACCCUAAUCCUAUAAAAAAUUAAUUACCUUAACUUUAUUAAAUACCCAAAUAAUUUUAAAAUUAUUACCCUAACCCUAUUACAUUUUUACUAUUUUAUAAUUAUUCUAACCCGUUUAAAAAUCCGAUCAGAUUAAAAAAAUUAUUAAAAUCUUCUUAUCCAAUUACUUAAACCAGUAUACAUAUAUAAUAAUAUUUCUCUACGUAUUUCAUAAAAUUAACUACUAAUUAAAUUAAUAAAAAUAAAAUAAUAAAAUUUAAAUUUAAAUAAUCAAAAAUAAAGAUCUUAAAUAUAAACUUAAAUAAUUAAAAAUAAAUAUCCAUACAACGAUAUAAACUUAUAUAAUUAUACCUAAAUAUCCAAAUAAUAACAUAAGCUUAAAUAACUAAAUACAAAUAUCCAAACAAAUAACAUAAACUUAAAUAACAAAAAAUAUAAUUUUUAUAAUGUUAACACAAAAUAAAAAAUAAAUAUAUUUAAAUUUAAAGUAUAUAUACUAAAAGUAUUAUAGUGUAUAUACAAAAUAAUAAUUAUAUUCUUUAUAAAUGACCAAAUGUAUAUUUAAAGUAUAGAUAUUAAAAGACAUUACAAUUUAAUUAAUAAUCAUAAUUUUAUUAAUUAUAUGAAUUNNNNNNNNNNNNNNNNNNNNNNNNNNNNNNNNNNNNNNNNNNNNNNNNNNNNNNNNNNNNNNNNNNNNNNNNNNNNNNNNNNNNNNNNNNNNNNNNNNNNNNNNNNNNNNNNNNNNNNNNNNNNNNNNNNNNNNNNNNNNNNNNNNNNNNNNNNNNNNNNNNNNNNNNNNNNNNNNNNNNNNNNNNNNNNNNNNNNNNNNNNNNNNNNNNNNNNNNNNNNNNNNNNNNNNNNNNNNNNNNNNNNNNNNNNNNNNNNNNNNNNNNNNNNNNNNNNNNNNNNNNNNNNNNNNNNNNGUAUUUUUGGUUUUGAUGAAAAAAAUCUUAUUAUAAUAAAGAGUUUAUUUUUGUAAUUAUAUAUUACAAAAAUUAAUAUUUUAAAAUUAAAAAUUAACCAAAGUUAUUAAUAUUUUACUCAUAGUAAUAUAUAAAUUAUAAAUAAAAUAUUAAUAUUUUAAAAUUUCAAUAAUUAAAUUAUGAAUAAAAUACAAUUAUUUAAAAAUGUUACUAUUUAGAUUAUAAUUAUUUUAAAAAUUUAUAAAUUAUUAAUAUUUUAAAAAUUUAUAAAUUAUUAAUAUUUAAAAAAUAAAAUAAAUAAUAAAUAAUCGUAUAUUAUAAUAAAUGGAAUUAUUGUCUUUUUAUCAUCUAUUCCUUCAUUAUUUCAAAAUUAUUUUUACCAACAAAACAUUGUAAUAAAUCAUAAUAAUAAUUCCAACAUUAUUCUAUUCCAUCAACCAAACUAUAUAAUAACAUUUUCAUUCUAUUCCUAUCCUAUUCUAUUCCCACAAAAUAUAUAUUUUGUUCCAUUUCAUUUUAUUCCGUGAACCAAAUGUGCCCUUAAUAUUUAGUAAGCGGAAAAGAAUGUCAAUGAAUACCUAUUGGCACUGCCAUUCAAAAAACAAUACGAAUUGGCACUAGCAAAAACUAUUAUUUUUUAAAUGUAAUUAAUGCAUCAUUAAUUAUUCCUAGAAAAAGAAUCAUCUUAAUUUGUGAGUUGCAUUAACUAAGAGCUUGUUUGGCUUGACUUUUUUUCUAACUUAAAAGCUAUUAUGAAGCUCUUAUGAAAAAUAAUAACUUUUAAAAUUAUUCUAAAAUUGUUUGGUAAAUUUUUUUAUAAGUUUUUUUUUAUAAGUUAUAAUUUUAGUUAAAAUUAUCAUAAAAAAUAUUUCUUUUUUUUUGAGAGGGUAAUAUUGUAAUUAUUUUUAACAAAUGAGGAUAUUUUUAAAACAAAAAUAAAAAUUUUCUUGUAUUUUUAAAAGAAGAGGAGAAAAAGCUCAUCCUCGGAGCUUUUUUUUAAGCUCUUUUUUUUUUAAAUUUUGUUUUUAAAAAAAAAAUUACUUUUUUUAAGAGCUUAUCAAAAGAUUAUGUUUGACUUAACUUUUGCUUUUAAGAAGUAGAUAAACUGAAAAAAAGUUAAGCCAAACAUACACUAAGGCUAUGGCUUUUGUCAGCUCAUGAAGGAGUCAUAGCUGCAUUGGCUGUAUCACCUGUGAAAAGGGCUGGUUUCUUCUGCCAGUCAUGAUCACAAGUUUGUCAAAUUGUGGAAGUGAUACGAUUGCUAGCAGAAUUCCCAAGUUUUAAUCAGCAACGAUUGUUGGUUUGUAGCUGUUCAGGUUGCUCAAAGGUGUCCAUUUUGUGGUUUGUCCCAAUGUAACUAACCUUGUCUGUUGUAUGCAUGCUAUGCAACCUUGUGUCGUUAAUGGUUAACUUGCACAUUCUUGCUUAAAUUCAUCAACAUUUUCUACAAAAAAAAAAAAUAAAGAAUAAUAAUACUGAAUUGUGACACUACACUUUAAUUGUAUUGAAUUUUGUAAUCAUACUUUUUAUUUCCAUUAGACUCCAUAAAUGAAAUAUUUCAGUAUAACAUUCUUUAAUCUUUAUUUUUCAUUCGAAAAUAACUAAAACAAAACUAGUUAAAAUAAAAUAACAGUGACAAAAUUUAAUGCAAUUGAAACACAAUUGCAAGAUUCAAAUUUGGUAUCUAUCUUAAGAUUUUUAUUCACCAUGCCAUGAGGUUAUUUGGUUCAUGAUAUUCACAAAAUGGCUACAGAAAUUUAGAAGCUGAGAAGCCUUAGAUUGUUUACUAGGAGCAGAGCUAGGAUAUAUCAGGGUUCACCUAGUCCUUGUACUGUAGAUAAAUAGAAUUUUCAAUAUAAAUCAAUAGUAUGCCAUAAUUUAGUAUGAUUUCUAUCAUUUCAUUUAAAUUUUUCCGGGUAGAUUUAUAACUAACGUCAAUCUUUACCAAUAAUGGAGCCAAGGUCUAUGCUCAAUCUGGGCAAAGUCAUUUCUCCUUCUGCAAGUCUCUCUGGUUUGAAAACAUGAACAUCUUCAACCCCAUAUCUCAGGGUCAUGGUGAAGUGCUGGAGUUGUAAUGAACAAUUCAGUAUUUUCUUCUUGGAGAAUUUUGUUACAGAAAAAAAAUAUGCCUGGACAAUCAUACUGAUCUCUGAUCAAGAUCUACAACAAUAUCGGAAUAUAAGAGGAAAUAGUACUCAGAGGAGCACCAUCUUCAUACUUGAUUGCUAAAACAUUUUGUUCCAAUACCAUCAUUUACUAUUACAUGGAUAGAAACAAGGACAAAUUAAUCAACAUCACUGACUGGGGUGAGUUACUGGCUGCGGCCUCUGUAAGCAACUGAUCUACAAGGCAUUAUUCCAUUGACAACUCUAGGCUUCAUUCUACAGAGAAUGAAGUAUUACCUGAAUUCCAUGUUGUGGCUGAAGCAAAAGAAGGGUAAAUGGUGAGUGGCUGUAGGUUGGGGAAAGGGAAAUGUUGUAUCGCUGUAGAAUCAUGGAAAGAGCAAUCUUUGUUUCUGUCAUUGCAAAGCUCAUACCGACACAAGAUCGAGGUCCCAAUCCAAAGGGAACAUAUGCAGCUGCAUUAUGUUUGGUGGCAUUGGCGAUCCCUUCUGCGAAUCUCUCAGGUUUGAAGAGAUUGACAUCAUCUCCCCAUAACUGAGGGUCAUGGUGAAGUGCCAUGAUUGGGACACCCAAAUGUAAAUCAGCUGGCAGGAUGAGCUUUCCCAAUUGAACUUCAUUUUCAACUUUUCUUGCCAUGCCACUUACAGGAGGAUAUAAUCUUAAAGUUUCAUUAAUGAUCAUAGUCAUCUGUAUGCAGCAGAAGAGGAAUAAACAUAUCAAAUCUAUUCUGAUUUUCAAAAAUUCAAUCUACUAAAUGUUCAAUGAUGUGUCCAAGCAAAAUGAUUAGAUUUACUUACAGUCUUUAGUCUGCCAAUGCCUUCAGAAUGUGGAUUUUGGUUACCAAAGACCUUAAUCACCUCUCUUCUUGCUUUCUCCUGCCAAUCUGGAUUGAUUGCUAAAAGCAAGACUGUCCAUGCAAGUGCAGAAUUAGUUGUUUCUUGUCCAGCAAAGUAAAAUGUCUUGCAUUCAUCUACCAAAUCUUGUACUGAUAGCCUGUUCUUCUUGUCUGCAUCAUGGUAAGCACUUACAAGUAAUCCAAGAAAAUCAGUGCCAAAGCUGUUGGCUUCUCCAUUCACUACUUUCUCUUCUCGUUUCUUAACUAUCUCCAUCACAGAAUUGUGUAUUCCUUUUACAAGUUUGUCUGAUUCAAUUUCAUCAGCAGUUUUACGGAAAUUACUGCAAAAGCAAAACAAAUUUCCACCAACAUAUGAAGGCAAAAUAAAACAAAAAUCCACCUAGCUAUACAAGAGUAGUUUAACCAUUUGCGCAAAAGCUGCAUAAUAUGACUUCUAGUUAGUCUCCUUUCUCAUUAAAUCAGAAAUAACCUGAAGAGGAACUUACCUAAUGACAGGAAACUUAGAUUUAAACAUGUUUCUGUUUGUCAAGACAGACAACUUCAACAACAUGUCAAAAAUCUUUUUCCCAUCUAAGUAACUGCUACCAAAAGCUGUCCUUGAUAUGACUUCUGAAGUCAACAACCUAAAUUCUUCAAACACCUCAAUUUCUUUGCCUUCAAGUUGCUUCCACUUUUCCAGCAUCGUCUCUACACUAGCAAUCAGUGCUGGUGUCAUGCUCUGCCAAAACCAUCACCACUCUUAUGAGUAACUUAUACCUUGCCAGGAUUUGGUUCUUCUCUAAUGCAUAAAAUUCACAAAACAUGAUCUGACUAUGAAGUAUCUUACAUCAACACAUCUAUGACAAAAAUAAUUAUAGCAUUUGAUCAGAAGUUUACUUUUAAGCUCUCCCCAUGAAAAGCAUAAUUGGCCAACUUCCUUUGCCUUGCCCAUUUCUGACCUUCGGAUGUCACAAGCCCAUCCCCUAGUAUCUUAAUAGCGAACUCGUCUUCAUUCCUCUUCCUUUCUCUACUUGUCCUUUUUGGAAAAGCUCUUUCACUACUCUUCAACACCUCUUUGACAAGCUCAGGCUCUGUGAUAAUCAGUUGAGCUUUAGUACCUGCCCAAGAAAGAUAGUUUUUCCCUAAUUCCACGGAAACAAAAGAAGGUUAAAUUGUUUCUUAAAAAAGGGUCUUAAAGCAAAAAAAAAAAAAAAGAAAAAAAAGUUGGGGGGGGGUGGGGUGUGGGGGGAGAGAAUUUAAUCUUACCAUAUGAGUUGAUCCAUGAAUAAACUUGAGGAUGGACUCUGGGAAAUAUAUCAUGUGAUAAACUAGUCAUAGGCUUGCUUAAUGCUUCCUGUUUCAUUUUUAUGGUCUCUUUGUUGUUUCCAUGGAUGAAUUUGUAAGGAGGUCCUUUGAUUCCUUGCAAAUUCAUUGCAUACUGUAUCCGAAGUGGUGUCCACCAAUACUUGUGUAGGAUUUUGAUCAGAGCUAUGACCAGAUACAGGCACAGAGAGCCUGUAAGAAGGGCUGAUAGAUUUGCUGCCAUGGAAGACAUUUGCAGAACCUGGCAAGGAAAAUAGAUUUUCUGAUAAAGUUCAUUUCCCCGGGAUAUAUCAGAUUUAUGACAUUUCAAGGGCGGUCACUUUGGCCUCAUUCAGAAUUAUGGUCUAAGCUAUAGAUAGUCAAAUUCAACCGCAUGACCAAUAGUUGCAGCCUGUUCAACGUUUCACAUUCACAUGGACAAAACUCAACGAAUAGGAGCAGUGAAAAUUAGAAAAAUUUGCAAUAAAGAAAAGGGAAAAGAGAACAGUCAAAGCACGUUAUGUCUGAUGCAGAACAGAACUCUGUCCAGACAGAGAAAUAGCCGUAACCCAUUGUCAAACACAACAAGUAUGUUAUUAAUAUUCAUUUUAAUUUAAUAUGUAUCCAAAUUUAAUUUUUUUUUGAAAAGUGAUUUUAUUAACCUCUAUCUCAUCACCAGCAUGUCGUUUCAAGUGUUUAGCUUAGCAUGCAAAAGACUCUCAUGGCAUAAACGGGCAGUGAAGCCUGUACACUUACGAAAGAAUUUUGCUACUCACGCAAAAAGUAGCAUCACUUGAUCAAGGAUCAACCGACCAAAACCAAACUUUAGGGGGGAAGCAUUUACGGCCCUUGGCUACCUACACAAAAUUAUCGAGUACAUACAAAGGAUAGGAGAAGCAGAAGACCGACAUCAGUCGUGAAGCAAAAAAGAGCACCCUAAAACUAUCGUAGACUAGAGGAACAGCCUCCCCAAUUAGCCAGCACGCCCUUCACACUUGGGCUACAAGCUGACAGGAAAGCAGCCCCUGCAAUGCAUCGAACACAACCAGCAAAAAAGACACAGGACGAGCACAAACCAACAACAUCGAACCAUCGACCAUGGCGAAGAAGAGUCGAAAACUUGCAGCCCGCACUUGAGCAGAGGAAAGGCCGAGAGCAGCUCCGAGAAGGAGGGAUGCCCCAAAAACACUCUGCAGAAAAACGCAAGCCACCUUACAAGAGAAAGCCAACACUCUCCACUAUCGGAAGAGCCAAAGAGAAGAGCAGCUCCACAAUUUGAGAAGCUCAAAUGGAAGAAGAAACCUCAUGAUAGGAGAAACACCUGGUCCAACCAAAAUUAGAAAACUCGACCAACCACGGACAGCAAGGGCAGCAUGGAACAACCGUUAAGAACAAACACAUGAAAGGGGAGAGCAGAAAGGACAAAUCUUUGACUACCAAUAGAGCAAAGGCAAGCCAAAGCAAAUCAAACAGGAUCGAAAAGCCCAAAGCAACAAGGAAAUGAAAACUAAAGAGAAAACAAACAAAACCUGAACAGAGGGAAAUCUCAGUCAACAACAAAAAGCUUGUUGGGAAAUUGCGGAAUUGUCUCUAAAGAAUUGCCCAAGAUCUAACCCAAUCAAUCGAAUAAAGAAAGAAAGAAAUCAAGGACACCCACAAGAACACAAGAAUUUACGUGGUUCGGUCUUUUAAUGACUUACGUUCACAGGCACAACAAUAGAGAAAUAUUCACUAAGAGAAAAAUUAAGAGAUUACAAGAACAGUCUCAAACUCAUAACCCUUAUCCCACAUAUACCUAAAUCAUUCUCUCUAAAUCUAGGUGAUAAUUAUUCUUUAACCCCAUAGGGUCCUUUUAUAGUAUCAAAUACAAUAUCCUUAUCCUAAUUUAAUUAGGAAUCUUAUCCUAAUAGAAUAGAUAAUUGUUAUUCUAAUCUAACUAGAUUUAAAGACUAUUUAUAAGGUAUACUAAUUUAAUUAGAAUUAAACAAUCCUAAUUAAAUCACAAUUCAAGACUAUCCUAACAAAUCUCCACCUUAGGCUUGAAUUCACCAAGCUCCACCUUACGAACCAAUCUCUGUCGACACCGCCACUGCCCCAAUGGGCCUCAAGCACUACGAACACCGAUCAAGUCCAAGCAAUGCUUGAACUUUAUCCCAGAAACUGACUUAGUUAGCAUAUCUGCCGGAUUUUCAUCUGUAGCUAUUUUCUUUACUACAAUCUCACCUUUAGAAAUAAUCUCUCGAACGAAGUUACACUUGACUUGGAUGUGUUUGGUUCUCUCAUGAAACAUCUGAUUUUUAGUCAAAUGUAUAGCACUUUGACUAUCACAAAACACAACUGUUUGUGUUUGUUCAAAACCAAGAUCACUAACCAAGCCUUUAAGCCACAAAGCCUCCUUCACUGCCUCGGUCACAGCCAUAUAUUCAGCUUCAGUUGUAGACAAAGCAAAGGUUGAUUGAAGAACUGCUUUCCAACUGAUUGCAGAUCCUGAGAGAGUGAACACAUACCCCGUUUGAGAUCUUCUACUAUCUAGAUCACCAGCAAAAUCUGAUUUGGAGAAGCCAACCACAUUACGACUAAUGUUUGCACCUCCUUCACACACUAAGCCAACUUCAAUAGUAACUUUAGGUGUUUUCACAAGCUCCCAUGUUUGAUCCCAGUGUAGAGACUCAAUCUUCUUAGAAGACUCGACAUAUAUAAUUUUCUCAUGAUAAAAGUAAGGCUCUUCAAUCUCUACUUCCACAAAUAAAACAUAAGAAUCAAAAUCACCAUCAAUACAAGUAAUGCUUCGUUGAGAUACCAAUUCUUGUACCUCUUGCAAUUCUUUCUGGAUUUCACUAUCAUCUCGCACUGUCACAAGAGCAUUGAUUUCAAGCUCCACCUGCUUGCCAACUUCUUGGUUUGAUGUGUUUGCAAUUCUAGACUUUAUCCCACAAAGUAAUGCAGACUUGUCAAAGGUAACAUCCCGACUCACCAUAAACUUGGGGAACUUACAAUCAGUACACCACAACCAAUAACCCUUCACCCCAUAUGCAUAGCCUAGGAAUAUGCACUCUGUCGCCCUCAACUCAAGUUUACCAUCACUCACAUGAACAUGAACAGGACAACCAAAUACUCUCAAUAUAAAAUAAUCAGCAGGCUUACCAGACCAAACUUCCUUGGGAGUCUUAAAUUCAAUUGCAGUUGAUGGAGACCGAUUUACCAAGUAACAAGCCUUGUUGAUAGCUUCUGUCCAAAAUACUUUGGUUAGGCCAACAUUUGAGAACACGUAUUUUGCUCUCUCCAAAAGUGUUUUCUUCAUCAAUUCUACAAUAUCGUUUUGAUAUGGUGUUUUGUCGACAGUGCGAUGUCUAACGAUUUUCUCAUUCUUGUAGAAUAGACCAAACUCACAUUUGCAAAAUUUCAAACCUUUGUUUGUUCGAAAGCUCUCGAUCCUUUUCUUAGUCUGCUUCUCGAUCAAUACCUUCCAAUGCAAAAAGGUGGUUAACACUUCACUCAUAGCCUUUAGAAGAUACGUCCACACCUUUCUUGAAAAAUCAUCAAUAAAGAUCCACAUGUAUAAUGAUCCACCUUUUGAUACCACCGGAGAAGGAUCCCACAAAUCUAAAUAGAUGUAGUUUACUGUACCCCUGGUUUGAUGAGUUUUAGUGCUAAAUUUCACUCUAUGUUGCUCACAGAAAUCUAGCUUUCCACUCUUUUGACCACACAGCAAACUAUGCUUACUUAGUUUUCUAAUCCCUCUCUCGCUCAUAUGACCAAAUCUCAUAUUCCAUAAACGUGUUACAUCAUCUUCAGGAUCAUUAGAUGAGACCACAGAAACAGUUUCAAUGACCGUGUUUCCCACUAGACAAUAAAGGUCACCGGAUAACUUGCCCUUCAUGAUAGUUAAGGCUCCUUUAGAUACAUUCAAGACACCAUCUUGGCCACUAUAUUUGUAGCCCUUCUUAUCUAACAAACUCAAGGAUAUUAAAUUCUUUUUCAUGUCAGGGACAUGUUUUACCUCAAGUGUUCUUACCAUACCAUCAAACAUCUUGAUUCUAAUUGUGCCAAUUCCAACAACUGAGAGAGAGAAAUCAUCUCCUAAUUGUACAGUGCCCAUAUUAACAGAUUGAUAAGUUGUAAACCAAUCACGCCUAGGACAUAUAUGAAAGCAACAAGCCGAAUCCAAGAUCCAUGUAUCCAUCAGGUUACAAUUAGUAAUUGCAAGAACAUUAUCAGUUUCCUCAAAAGUAUCAAAGUCAUCUCCAACCACGUUUGCAGUAUUCUCAGACUUAUUAAACUUUUCAUCAUCCUUGAAUUUGAUACAGUCUUGACGAAAAUGCCCUUUCUGACCACAAUUCCAGCAAGUUUUCCCUUUUGCUCUAGAUUUACCUUUUCUGUCUAAGCCUUUCUCUUUACCUCUACCUCUAUUUACAACCAAACCUUCUGCUUGAUUUUCAUUCCGAAUACCACCAACUUUCUUCUUUAAUUCCUUGGAAUUUAAAGAUGCCCUUACAUCCUCGAAAGUGAGAGUGUCUCGGCCGUAAAGCAUAGUAUCCACGAAAUUUUCAUACGAUGGAGGCAAAGAACAUAAAAGAAUUAGGGCUAGGUCCUCAUCCUCAAUUUUAACAUCGAUAUUCUUUAAAUCAAGAAUAACUCUAUUAAAUUCAUCAAUGUGGGUAUUAACGGACGUACCUUCACUCAUCUUGAGAGUAUACAAUCGUUGCUUCAUAUAAAGCCGAUUCGUCAGGGACUUGGUCAUAUAAAUACUUUCGAGUUUAAACCACACUGCAGCAGCAGAUUCUUCAUCCGUGACUUCUCUUAGCACCUCAUCAGACAAAGCAAGGAGAAUAGCACUAUGUGCUUUUUCCAUAAGGUCAUCUUUCUCACCAUCAGAUAAAUUCGAGGGAAGAUGCUCUUUUCCCUUCAGUGCCUUCAACAGUCCUUGUUGCACUAGCAAUGCGCGCAUCUUAACACGCCACAGGCUGAAAUCGUUUCUUCCAUUAAACUUUUCAAUCUCAUACUUGGUCGACGAAGUUGCCAUAGCGAGAUUCAGAUUGAUCCAAGACCUUGAAGCUCUGAUACCAGUUUGUUGGGAAAUUGCGGAAUUGUCUCUAAAGAAUUGCCCAAGAUCUAACCCAAUCAAUAGAAUAAAGAAAGAAAGAAAUCAAGCACACCCACAAGAACACAAGAAUUUACGUGGUUCGGUCUUUUGAUGACCUACGUCCACGGGCACAACAACAGAGAAAAAUUCACUAAGAGAAAAAUCAGGAGAUUACAAGAACAGUCUCAAACUCAUAACCCUUAUCCCACGUACACCUAAAUCACUCUCUCUAAAUCUAGGUGAUAAUUAUUCUUUAACCCAUAGGGUCCUUUUAUAGUAUCAAAUACAAUAACCUUAUCCUAAUAUAAUUAAGAAUCUUAUCCUAAUAGAAUUAGAAAUUGUUAUUCUAAUCUAACUAGAUUUAAAGACUAUUUAUAAAGUAUACUAAUUUAAUUAGAAUUAAACAAUCCUAAUUAAAUCCCAAUUCAAGACUAUCCUAACAAAGCUUCCAAUGAAUCCAGGAAGAAUAGAUUCACUCACAAGGGAACCAUCAGCAGAAGAACAAAAGGGACCCAUGCGAGGGAGCAAUGGUUAAAGAUGAGAAGUGAGCCUUUGAAUCAGAAAAGCCACUUGACAUUUCAUCUUUUUCACGUUUUUUCUUUUUUAUUUUCUUUUUUGUAAAUUUUCCUUCUUUUUUUUUAAUUGAUAUGAAUCCAAAACUAUUCAAACUCGUUGUCAUCUGAACUCGAAAUGACUUGAUUCUAAGCUACUCGUUUGCCAACUCUAUGUAUAUCUCUUUUUUCUGAAUCAGCAGGCAGGGCAGUAGCAUACUGUCUUGUUGCUGUGAUGUGGUUUCUGAUGAUUGUCUGGCGGACAAGAGACAAUUGAGGACAUUUCCAAGGCCAUAUUACUAUCUACUGCUAUAAAAUAUUCACAUACAAAUCCAUGCGCAGGCAUAGUUUCAAAUCUCUCUGGAUAAGCCUUUUGUUUAUAUAUCAGCUAGUUGAACCUCAGUGUUACCGUGCCUGAGCUAAUAUGUCAGAGUCAAAAUGUCACUGAAUGAUAACAAAGGUUCAAAUUUUGUUACAACAGUGCAAGUUUUGUUGUUUCAUUGGCAUUCUAUUGAGCUAGAGCUGCUAAAGAAUUUUUUUUUUGAUAUUGCAUAUGUUGGCAAUUUUUGCCGGUCCUGAUCGGGCGGGCUGGUCAAAAUUGUAAAGCAGUUGUAAAUACUAGCAAAGAUAUCAUUGUUAACAGGUCUGGUUAUAUAUCAUAGCGCAUCUUUGAGAAUGGAGUUCAUGCUGAUUAAUCGUGUGCAAACUGUGAUGUCCACAUUUAUUGGGUUUUGAGAGGCGUAUGAACUCGACUAAAUGGCCGCUGUGUUCUGUCCAUAAACUGAAACAGGGGACUGUACUCCCCAUAAAACUUGCUGGAAAUAAUUUUAUAGUUGCAUUACAGGGGAGAUCACCGUGUAAGCCUGUACUGUUUAUACCAUUUGGUUUAGUUUUAAUAUGUUGUAAUUUCGUAUUGUAUGCAUCUUUUCCUUUUGAAACGAUUGAUGUUUUUAACCUUUAAAGGCAUCUCAUAAAGCGUGAUUCAGACUAUCUUGCCUGGAUAUAAUUUGUUUCAAACCUGUUACAAAUUUGUUUUAUUAGCUUGAUCUUGAGCAAGCCAGAGCUGGUUCCCGGGUUCACCUAGUCCCUGUGAAUUUUGAAUAUAAAUCAGUAGUAUGCGUAUGAUUUCUUAUCAUUUUAUUUAAUUUUUUCUAGGUAAAUUUAUAACUAAUUUUAAUCUUUACCAAUGAUGGAGUCAAGACUUAUGCUUAAUCUAGGUAAAGUUAUUUCCCCUUCUGCAAAUUUCUCUAGUUUGAAAACAUGAACAUCUUCACCCCCAUAUCUCAGGGUCAUGGUGAAGUGCCGGAGUUGAAAUGAAAAAUUCAGUAUUUUCUUCUUGGAGAAUUUUGUUACAGAAAAAAAGGUACAAGGCAAUCAUACUCGUCUCUAAUCAACAUCUACAAAAAUAUCAGAAUAGAAGAGGAAAUAGUACUCAGAGGAGUACCCUCUUCAUACUUGAUUACUAGAACAUUUAGUUCCAAUACCAUCAUUUACUACUGCAUGGAUAGAAACAAGGACUGAGUGGGAUGAGUUACUGGCUGCAGCCUCUAUAAACAACUGAUCUACAAGGCAUUAUUCCAUUGACAACUCUAGGCUUCAUUCUACAGAGAAUGAAGUAUUACCUGAAUUCCAUGUUGUGGCUGAAGCAAAAGAAGGGUACAUGGUGAGUGGCUGUAGGUUGGGGAAAGGGAAAUGGUGUAUCGCUGUAGGAUCAUCGAAAGUGCAGUCUUUGCUUCUGUCAUUGCAAAGCUCAUACCGACGCAAGAUCGAGGUCCCAAUCCAAAGGGAAUAAAUGCAGCUGCAUUAUGCUUGGUGGCAUUUGAGAUCCCUUCUGAGAAUCUCUCAGGUUUGAAGAGAUUGGCAUCAUCUCCCCAUAACUGAGGGUCAUGGUGAAGUGCCACGAUUGGGACAACCACAUGCAAAUCAGCUGGCAGGAUGAGCUUUCCCAAUUGAACUUCAUUCCCAACUUUUCUUACCAUGCUAUUUAUAGGAGGAUAUAAUCUUAAAGUUUCAUUAAUGAUCAUAGUCAUCUGUAUGCAGCAGAAGAGGAAUAAACAUAUCAAAUCUAUUCUGAUUUUCAAAAAUUAAAUCUACUAAAUGUUAAGUGAUGUGUCCAAGCAGAAUGAUUAGACUUGCUUACAGUCUUUAGUCUGCCAAUGCCUUCAGAAUGUGGAUUUUGGUUACCAAAGACCUCAAUCACCUCUCUUCUUGCUUUCUCCUGCCAAUCUGGAUUGAUUGCUAAAAGCAAGACUGCCCAUGCAAGUGCAGAAUUAGUAGUUUCCUGUCCAGUAAAGUAAAAUGUCUUGCAUUCAUCUACCAAAUCUUGUCCUGAUAGCCUGUUCUUCUUGUCAGCAUCAUGGUAAGCACUUAAAAGUAAUCCAAGAAAAUCAGUGCCAAAGCUGUUGGCUUCUCCAUUUAAUACUUCCUCUUCUCUUUUCUUAACUAUCUCCAUCACAGAAUUGUGUAUUCCUUUUACAAGUUUUUCUGAUUCAAUUUCAUCAGCAGUUUUACAGAAGUUACUGCAAAAGCAAAAAAAAAUUACCACCAACAUAUGAAGGCAAAAUAAAACAAAAAUCCACCUAGCUAUACAAGAGUAGUUUAACCAUUUGGGAAAAAGCGGCAUAAUAUGACUUCUAGUUAGUCUCCUUUCUCAUUAAAUCUGAAAUAACCUUAAGAGGAACUUACCUAAUGACAGGAAACUUAGCUUUAAACAGGUUUCUGUUUGUCAAGACAGACAACUUUAACAGCAUGUCAAAAAUCUUUUUCCCAUCUAAGUAACUGCUACCAAAAGCUGUUCUUGAUAUGACUUCUGAAGUCAACAACCUGAAGUCUUCAAACACAUCAAUUUCUUUGCCUUCAAAUUGUUUCCACCUUUCCAGCAUGGUCUCAACACUAGCAAUCACUGCUGGUGUCAUGCUCUGCCAAAACCAUCACCCACUCUUAUGAGUAACUUAUACUUUGCCAGGAUUUGGUGCUUCUCUAAUGCAUAAAAUUCACAAAAGAUGAUAUAACUAUGAAGUAUCUUACACCAACACAUCUAUAACAAAAAUAAUUGUAGUAUUUGAUCAGAAGUUUACUUUUAAGCUGUCCCCAUGAAAAGCAUAAUUGGCCAACUUCCUUUGCCUCGCCCAUUUCUCACCUUCGGAUGUCACAAGCCCAUCCCCUAGUAUCAUAAGAGCGAAUUCGUCUUCAUUCCUCUUCCUUUCUCUACUUGUCCUUUUUGGAAAAGCUCUUUCACUACUUUUCAACACCUCUUUGACAAGCUCAGGCUCUGUGAUAAACAGUUGAGCUGUAGUACCUCCCCAAGAAAGGUAGUUUUUCCCUACUUCCACAGAAACAAGAGAAGGUUAAAUUGUUCUUAGAAAACGGUCUUAAAACUAAAGGGGGGAAUUUAAUCUUACCAUAUGAGUUGAUCCGUGAAUAAACAGGAGGAUUGACUCUGGGAAAUAUAUCAUGUGAUAAACUAGCCAUAGGCUUGCUUAAUGCUUCCUGUUUCAUUUUUACGGUCUCUUUGUUGUUUCCAUGGAUGAAUUUGUAAGGAGGUCCUUUGAUUCCUUGCAAAUUCAUUGCAUACUGUAUCCGAAGUGGUGUCCACCAAUACUUGUGUAGGAUUUUGAUCAGAGCUAUGACCAGAUACAGGCACAGAGAGCCUGUAAGAAGGGCUGAUAGAUUUGCUGCCAUGGAAGUCAUUUGCAGAACCUGACAAGGAAAAUAGAUUUUCCGAUGAGUUCAUUCCCGGAGUAUCAGAUUUAUGACAUUUAAAAUCGGGUCACUUUUGCAUUUAGAAUUAUGGUCUAAUCUAUUGAUAUAUUCAAACAAUUUAUUUAAAGUGUAUAACAUAGGCAGCCAAACACCCUCAAUUUACCAUAAUUUGGUUAGUUGCCAAACAAUUUAUGAAAGGGAGAAUCCAUUUGCAAAAUAGGUGUAGGGAUUAAUUAAAUACACAGCUGUCAGAAAAGUAUGAGAUAAAAAUUUCAUGCAAAAGUCUAAAAAGGUACUUGCAAUAAAGAUCUCAAGAGUGAUGGGCACCCAACACUUGUGGUCAACCUACAAGUCUUGGGUACUAACCAUUAGAUCAUAUGGUGAUUGCAAGUGUUAAUUUAUAUUUUUCAUCUCGAGGUAUAUAGUGUUUGGUUCUUAUAAUGUGUAAGGUAAGUUGAAUGAUUUGAUUAGUUAAAUAAAGAAUCGAUAGUUCAAUGUUUGGUCAACCACUCAAUUUAGACUAGAACCAAUCACACUCAUUAAGUGAAGGUUCAAAUCUGUGAGACACCUUUAUUUAUGAACAAAAUUCUCAAAGUUGUUGGUAUUUGAAACUUUUAAAAAUGGUGGGGGAUUGUUGGUGUAAUUUCAAAAUAAAAGGUUCUCACAUAACGGAUAUUUAUUUUAGCUCAAAAGUUAUGUCAGAUAAUAAAAGAUUAUGUUAAGCUUAAAGGUUAUGUCACAGAAAGUACCAGUGUAACUAUUAGAUUGUAAGUAGGUUUUUCAUAUAAAUAGUUAUAUUUCUUAAUAAAGUGAUAAUUGGAAAACCAUCUCUGAAUCCAGAAAUUAUGAGACAAUUGAAAAACAUCACAGUUAAAAAGUUUAUAUAUGAAAAGUUAUUUUUUCAUAUUGUAGCUCAAAAAUUAUGUUUUAUGGAAUGAAUGAUUAUUCUCUCAUUAGAUGAUUUUUGAAACAAUACUUUUAUCUAAGGAUUAUGUUUUACAAAUUGCAAAGGUAUCUUUAAGAUAAAAAGGUGUCUUGAUGAAAAGGUUGUAACUUCGAAGAAGAGAUACUUGCAAGCCUAUUUAAAAGACUUACGGCUAACCAUUUUGAUACACCAAAACAAAUAAGACAAGUGUAGAAAAAUCAACAGAGAUAGAAGUGUUAUGUUUUGAAAAUAAAUAUAAACACUUAAGUUUUCAUCAUUUAUCAAAAAAAUCUAAAUUCUUUAUAAUCUACUUGCUACAGAAAGUAAGUUUUAAGUUUGAACAACUUUGCAAAUCUUUGGGUGUAUCUAGCGGUCUAUUCUUAUAAAAGUGUAAAAAUGAAGUUAGACGUUGACUUAAUUAUACCUCUAAGGUUAUUCAUAUUAUUUUCUUUUUGCAUAGCGAAUGAUGAGGGCGAAAUAAGGCUUAAAGAUAAUGUCUAUUAUGUCUUGAAGUCAAUUUUGUGUAUUCCUUAAAUUUCAUCAAAACCUUAUUUGCACCAACAAAGAUUGCGCAUCGGCUUCCAAGAGUUUUUCUUCUCCAAGUUCUCUUGUUGAGCAUGAGAAGAUCAAUGCUCAACUUAAGGCUAAUGAAGGUUGGGGCUAGGCUUUCAACUUGAAAUCUUAGCUUAGAGCCUUAGACCUAACUUGAAAGUGUCAUCGAGUCUAAAUUUUGAUUCUAAUCAGGCUCAAUAUAUCUAUAGGAAGUGUCCAGUAUAUACUUGUCGAGACUGAGAAGACAAUGGCUUUCAUUUCUUGUGAGAAGCUUCUACAUUACUAGGCAGAACAUGCCAUAAAUUUACAUUAGUUACAACCUAGAUUACCUUUGCCAAUGUCACAUCUUACAAGUUACAGAUAGGGAAGAUAAAGAUAUCAUAUUGCUGAUUCCUUGUAUAUGUAAUUUCUUUAUUAAAGUCAUUGAUCCUUGUUAAAAUCAAUCUGAGUUAUGUUUUCUUGGCUUACUUAACUUGAUAAGAGUGCUCAAGUAUGUCAAAAUUCUAGGAUUUGCCAAAGGGUCCGAAAACAGAAAGAAUGACACAAUUGAAUGGUGUAUAUAUGGAGGUGUGAUAAAAUGAAUUUGAAUUUCGAAAAUUUAUUUUAAAAAAAUCUGAAUUAUAAUUCAGUUAAAUCCGAAUUGAUAAAAAAUUUACAGACUUAAACUUCAAAUGAUUUUAAUUUGAAAGUUCCAACUUAAAGUAGUAAUAACCUAAAUUUAAUAUUAAAAAUGACAAAUUUUAUCAAUAUUCAUUUUAAUUUAAUAUGUAUAUGAAUUUAAAUUGAUUUGAACGUUGUCACCUGAACUCGAAAUGACUUGAUUGGAAACGACGCGGUUGCCAACUCUAAAAAAUAUUCACUUACAAAUCAGGAGGCAGGCCAGUAGCAUACUGUCUUGUUGCUGUGAUGUGGUUUCUGAUGAUUGGCUGGCGGACAAGGGACAGGUGAGGGAAUUUCCAAGGCCAUAUUACUGUCUACUUCUAAAAGAUAUUCACAUACAAAUCCAUGCGCAGACAGAGUUGAAACUUUUUUGUUUGGAAUAUUAUACUAAUGAUUGAAAUGCUAUCAAUAUAUUGCCUGGAAUUACGUAUUAAAUGCAGCUGGUUUUGUCGAGUAAAGGGUUUUAAGGAAAAAUACCAAAUUUAUCAUUAUAAGAUGAUUCAAUACUGAAUUGUGUUAGCUCAUGGAAUAUGACGGAGAAUAAGGCUAUGGCUUUUGUCAGCUCAUGAAGGAGUAAUAGCUGCAUUGGCUGUAUCCCCUGUGAAAAGGGCAGGUUUCUUCUGCCAGUCAUGAUCACAAGUUUGUCAAAUUGUGGAAGUGAUACGAUUGCUAGCAGAAUUCCCAAGUUUUAAUCAGCAACAAUUGUUGGUUCGUAGCUGUUCAGGUAGCUCAAAGGUGUCCAUUUUGUGGUUUGUCCCAAUGUAACUACCCUUGUCUGCUGUAUGCAUGCUAUGUAACCUUGUCUCGCUAAUGGUUAAUUUGGACAUUCCUGCUUAAGUUCAUUAACAUUUUUCACAAAAAAAAAAAAAAAGAAAACUGAAUUAUGUCACUACACUUUAAUUGUAUUGUAUUUUGUUAUCAUAAUUUUUAUUUCCAUUAAACUCUGUAAAUGAAAUAUUUUGUCUUUAUUUUUAUUCAAAAAUAACUAAAACAAAAAUAUUUAAAAUAAACGUAUACUGACAAAAUUUAAUGCAAUUGAAACACAAUUGCAAGAUUCAACGUUCAACCAUAAUAUUGUGAUAAAUUUGGUAUUCAUCUUAAGAUUUUUAUUCACCAUGCCAUGAGGUUAUUUGGUUCAUGAUAUUCACAAAAUUGCUACAAGAAUUUCAAAGCUGAGAAGCCUUAGAUUGUUUACUAGGAGCAGAGCAGGGAUAUAUCAGGCUUUAGUACUCAAAGGAAGAUAAUCUUGUUUCUUUGUUGCCAAUACAUGAAAUCACUAAUACUUAUAUCAUCAUACAUGGCUGCUAAAUACAGUUAAAUGGGAGAACAUAACUGGGAACUGGUUAUCAUCAGUUUUUAUUUGAUUAUAUAUUUUACCAUUUCGGAGAUUAACAGCUGAGUACUUUAAGCAUCAUUAGGCAGUGAAUGAAACAACAACUGAAUUCCAUGUUGUGGCCUAAGUGUGAGAAGAGCUAAGGGUGCGUGGACAUAGGCAGGGGAGAGGGCAAUGUUGUAGCGUUGCAGAAUCAUGAAGAUAGCCAUCUUUGUUUCUGUGAUCGCAAAGCUCAUGCCCACGCAAGAUCGAGGUCCCAUUCCAAAGGGAAUAAAUGCACCCGCAUUGUGUUUGGUAGCCUUGGCAAUCCCUUCAGCGAAUCUCUCUGGUUUGAAAAGAUGAACAUCAUCUCCCCAUAAUUCAGGGUCAUGGUGAAGUGCCAUGUUCGGGAUGCUGAACUCUAUAUUUGUAGGCAGCAUGAGCUUUCCCAAUUGAACUUCUCUUCCAACUCUCCUUGCGAUGCCAUUUACAGGAGGAUACAAUCGUAAAGUUUCAUUGAUGAUCAUGGUCAUCUGUUUACAGAUUAGAAGUAAAAGGUAUCAAAUUAUAAAUUCCCUGUUUAAUACCCUGAAUGCUCAAAACUAGUGCAUGCUAUUAAAGUGGUUAGAGCUUGAAAUUUGCUUACAGUUUUUAGUUUGGCAAUCCCUUCAGGAUGUGGAUCUUGAUUACCAAAUACCUCAAUCACCUCUCUUCUUGCUUUCUCUUGCCAAUCUGUAUGGAUUGCUAAAAGCAGGACUGUCCAUGCGAGCAAGGAAUUAGUUGUUUCUUGUCCAGCAAAGUAGAAUGUUUUACACUCAUCUACCAAAUCUUCAACGGAGAGCCUGUUUUUCUCGUCCAAGUCAUGAUAGGCAUUUAGAAGUAAUCCCAGAAAAUCACUGCCAAAGCUCUCAGCUUCUCCAGCCACUACUUUCUCUUCUCUUUGUUUAACAAUCUUCAUCACAGAAUCAUGUAUUUCUUUUGCAAGUUUCUCCGAUUCAAUUUCAUCAGCAUGUUUCCAGACGUAGCUGCAAAAGCAAACCAAAGUCUGCCUUAUAUAUGGAAAAAACUAGGAUAGAAAGAAAAAAUAUCCUCUCAGACCUACAGCUUUAUGCAUAAAAUAGAGCCUUCUGGUUAUUAGUCUCCAGAGUAAAGCUUAGAGGAGCUUACCUGAUGCCAGGUAUCCUGGCUUUAUAAAGAUUUCUGCUUGCGAUUACUGACAACUUCAUCAACGUCUCAAAAAUCUUCUCGCCCUCCAGGUAACUGCUACCAAAAGCUGUUCUGGAUAUCACUUCUGAAGUCAAUAAUCUAAAUUCCUGGAACACUUCGAUCUCCUUCCCUUCCUGGCCUUUCCACUUCUGUAGCAUUGUUUCAACGCUAGCAAUUACUGCUGGAGUCAUGUUCUGCCAAAACCAUCCUCCACUUUGUAAGUAUCACUACUGGAAGAUCACCAAAAUUUUAGUUUGCAAAUGUUCCAAGUACAAUAAAUAAUUCAAUCACCAAGCCUAUGACAGCAAAAACUUAUAGUACAGUGGUUUUCAUAGGAAGUUUUACUUUCAAGCUCUCCCCAUGAAAAGCAUAAUUGGCCAAUUUCCUUUGCCUUGCCCAUUUUUCUCUUACGGUCGUAGCAAGCCCGUCCCCCAGUAUCUUGCUAAGGAAAUAUGUAACUUUCCUCUUUGGAAAAGCUUUUUCACUAUUUUUCAGCACCUCUUUGAUGAGAUCUGGUUCUGUAAUUACCAGCAGAGCUCGAACUCCAUUCCAACUAAGAUAAAUUUUCCCUAAUCAAAGAACACAGAAAAAAAGAGAGUUAAAUCUCUUCCUGGAAGCAGAACUUAGAAAUCCUAGCGGAAAAUGACAUCAUGUCUCACCAUAUGUGUUGAUGCAGGAGUAAAUAUGAGGCAGCACUCUGGGAAAUAUAUCAUGUGUCAAGGCCAUAGGUUUGCUUGAUGCUUCCCUUAUACUUUCGACAACUGCUUUGUUGUUUCCAUGGAUAAACUCAUACGGAGGUCCUUUAAUUCCCUGUGACCUCAGUAUAUUCUGUAUCCGGUGGGGAAUCCACCAGUAGUUGUAGAAGGCCUUGAGCAGAGCUCGGAGGAAGUAAAGGAAGAAUGAACCUGCGACAAGGAUUAAAAGCUUUCCCAUGGAGUUCAUUUCUUUCUCUUAUCCACUACAUUUGAGGUGUUGUGGUUCUUUGCUUUUAUGCACGUUUAGGGCUGAAGGCAUUUUGCUUAUAUGUAAAAGCCGGCUUUUCAUUUGGUGCGAUUUAGAAUUGGUCAAAAGAACAAUCUAGUCCAUGUAAUCUCUAACUGUAUCCAAUUUAAUCCCGAUACUCAAAAUUAAAAUAAUUUAGUCCUUUAAUUUUAAAAAUUUAGUCCCUCUUUUUAAAAAAAUUUAAUUUUACCGUUAAAGAGGAUGAUGUCGAUGAUAACGUGACACAUUUUGAUGAUAUGGAGUUGAAAUGAUGGCGUGGCAUACCAUGUGGCAUCGACAUGAUGACGUGACAAUAUCACAUGGCAUCGACAUGAUAACAUGACAAUGUCACGUGAUACUAAUAUGAUGACGUGGUAAUGACAUGUUGACAUGUCAACUUUACGUGGUAGAUCAAAAAAAUUUUCAAAAUAAAAAAUUUUACCAUGUCAUAAAGAUUAAAUUGAAAAAAAAUAUAUAUAGUACAGAGACUAAAUUGAACAAAAUUAAGAUGAUGAAGGACUACAUUGAAAAAAAUAUUUGAAAAAUAUAAAUCUUUAAGUAGAUUAUUGAUAUACUUAUUAAUAAGCCAAAUAUUUUAGCGUAAAAGAUUUAUGGUGUUAAAAAAUAUAUAUAAAUAUUUUCUUACUUCAUUAUUUGAUUCUAGAAUGUAUACAUUAAUUUAUUUAUUUUUUACAAAAAUUAAGUUUGAAUUCUUCUUGUGUAAAAAAAAAUUUGAAAAAAUUUCAUACCUAAAGUCAAAUUUCGAUGAAUAACUUGCAUUAUGUUAUUACAAAAUAAUAUAAAAUGACUAAAUAAAAUUUUUUCUUCUAUUUAUAAUAGUAUAAAAAUUUGAAAUUUAUUUAACUUAGUUUUUAACGUGAAGUGAACUCAAAUUAGCAAAAUAUGUUGAUUUAGUAAAAAAAAUGAAGAACGAAGAUAUGGAGUUAGUGAUGAUUAUAAAAAUAAUUUCUUAUUCUAACUUACUUAAUUUGGACAUGACAAAUCUCUUAUUAUAACCAUAGAAUUUGAGCUCCACCUUUUUAAUUUUUUAUUUAUUUUUUAUUUCUUUGUUUUGUUUAAUAUUUCAAGUUAUAUUUUUUAAGUUGAAAUUUCCUAGAUUAAAGAUUAGGGGUGAGCAAAUGGGUGGAUUGAGUGGUUUAGUCCACCAUAUCUAAGGACCAAAUGGACCAAUCAUUUUUAAAAAAUCAAUCAAAAUCGACCAAAUAUAAUGGAAGGUUAAACCGACAAAAUAUAGAAUUGGUUUGGUUGGUUCGGUUUUGAACCAAUAGACCAAAAUUUUAUCACAUUUUUUUUUUACAAAUUAUAAUAUUAAAACUUAUAAACUUCAUUCAUAAUUAUAUAUAUAUGAAAUUAAUGAUAAAACUUAUAUGUUAUAAUAUUUUAUAUCAAAGUUUGUAUAAAUAAUAACAAUUAUGAACUAUAUGUUAUAAAAUCUAAGGUGAUAGCUAAUAAGCUUAUUAAGUGUAAUCGUAUAAAUAAAGUUUAUUAUAAGUUAUAGUAAUGCUUAUGUAUAAAUUAAAUAUAUAUAAUAUAUUACAUUAUUAUAUAUAUAAUUAAUGAUACAAAUUUUAUGUUAAAAUAUUUUAUAUAAUCAUAUAAAUAAAGUAUAUUAUAAGUUAUAGUAAUACUUAUGUAUAAAUUAAAUAUAUGUAUAUAUAAUAUAUGACUUUAUUAUAUAUAUGCAUAUACAAAAUUAAUGACAUAAUUUAUAUGUUAUAAUGUUUUAUAUGAAAGUUUGUAUAAAUAAUAACUAAUUAUAAACAAUAGGUUAUAAAAUCUAAGGUGAUAACUAAUAAAGUUAUUAAAUAUAAUCAUACAAAUAAAGUUUAUUAUAAAUUAUAGUAAUGCUUAUGUAUAUGUAUAUAUAAUAUAUCUAUACAGUUAUCUAUAUAGUUAUAUAUAUAUAUAUAUAUAUAUAUAUAUAUAUAUUCAUACCACUUUAUAUUACGACAUAUUACUAAGGUUUAAUAAUUAUAAUAUAUUAAUAUGUAGGAUAUUUACUAUUAUAUAUUAUAAUAUUAACAUAUAACUUAUAUUAUUUAAAAUAUAUAACUUGUAAUUUCAUAUUCAUAUAAAUUUAUAAAUAAAUAUAUAUGACUAAUAUUAAAUUACUAUGAUUAUGAUUUGUAUACGUACAUAUAAUACUCUAAUAUAUUUUAAAUAUAUUAUUAAUUAAGUUUACUAUCAAUUUUUUUAAUAUAUAAAAAAUAUAUAUGACUAUAUAUACAAAUAUAUAAAAAAUUAAUUUGGUUUUUUGUGUGGAUUGGUUUAAAAAUUUUAAAAUCGAGAACCGACCAAAUAACCAAUUGGACCAAAUAUUUUGGACCAAUUGAUUCAAUGGACUAAUUAGACUGAAUUAUUUUACUCAAAUCGCAUUUGGUUUGGAUAGGUAAUUGGUCUGGAUUGGUUUUGCUAACCUUUAUUAAAGAAUAUAUUUAUUGUUGAUAAAGUUCAAUAUAAUUGUAAAUAUUUGUACCAUUUUAUUUUAUUAAUAAAUUUUUUGUAGAUCCAAAUUAAUAAUUUAAAUAUAAAUUUAGCAUAAUUUGAUUGUGGUAUUUGAACUUAAAUAAAAUUGUUUUAUAAGAAAUUUUAAAUAAAUUUAAAUAAAAGGUACAUUAGGUAAGAGUUGAAUAAUUUCAUAAAAAAUGGGUAUUUAUAAAUUGUAAAAGUUGUAACUAAAUCAAUGUAUUUUGUUAAUUUGAGUUUAGCUUAAGUUAAAAACUAAGUUAAAUAAAUUUCAAAUUUUUAUACUAUUAUAACUAGAAAAAAAAAGAAUUUAUUUAGUUAUUUUAUAUUAUUUUAUUAUAAUAUAAUGUAAGUUAUUCAUCUAAAUUUGACUUUAGGUAUGAAAUUAUUUUGAAAUUUUUUUUUAGAAGGAGAAUUCUAACUUAAUUUUUGUAAAAAAUAUAAAUUAAUAUAAAUAUUCUAUAAUCAAAUAAUCAAGAAAGAAAAUAUUUAUAUAUACUUUUUAAUACCAUAAAUCUGUUACACUUAAAUAUUUAGCUUAUUAAUAAAUAUAUCAAUAAUCUACUUAGAUAUUUGUAUUGUUUAAAUAUUUUUUUUCAAUUUAGUCCCUCAACAUCUUAAUUUGUUCAAUUUAAUACCUAUACUAUAUAUUUUUGUUCAAUUUAAUCCCUAUAACGUGGCAAGAUUUUUAUUUUAAAAUUUUUUUUGAUCUGUCACGUGGCACAAGCAUGCUAACAUAUCAAUGCCAUGUCAUCAUAUUAGUGCCACGAGGCAUUGCCACAUCAUUACGUCGGCGCCACGUGGUAUUCCACAUCAUCAUCUCAAUGCAUCAGCACUAAAAUGUGCCGAAAUGUGCCAUAUUAGUGCUGAUGUCAUCUUUUUUAAUGACAAAAUUAGAUACCGUUAGGGAGAGAGAUUAAAUUAAAGAAAUUUUCAAAAUUAAAGAACUAAAUUGCUUCGAUUUUAAGUAUAGAAAUCAAAUUGAACAAAAUUGAAAAGUACAAGAAUUGAAUAGGUCUUUUGACUAUUUGAAAUUAUUGCCUUCAAAAAAUACACCCACUUUUUAAGUAAAGGGCUUAACAAUUCAACUACAAAUAUUCAUGGCAUGCUAUACAUAAUGCCUAAUGCCUCACUCUUAUGACUCUUAUUGAAUAAUUGUGACGCAAUAAUAGUAGGUGAUGUACUCUCUUAUCUCGCAAGUCAUGUUAUGCCAAUCACUAAACUGCAGAUUAUAUUGGAUUCAACUUAGCAACAAUUUUGGCAUUUAUAUGAUCAAUGAAAUAAAUAAAGAUUAAUUAUAAUUAACAAUUAGGGUUCUUCAUCCUAUGAACAGGAAAAAAAAGGUGUAAUAAUCACUUCAUAUCAUGCAUUAAUAUGAACAAUAAUGAACUCAACUUGAUAAAAUUUGGUUUUAAUAGAUGUUAAGCUUUGAUUUAGAGUUCACUGGGUAAUAGGUGGUAUAUACAUUAGGACUUUCUGUUUUUUUUUCUUUUUUUUGGGGGGGGACACCUUGUAUUAAUUCAUUCAAAUUUUUUUUGAAAGGUAUUAAGUCAUUCAAUUUUAACUACUCAUUGUAAGAAUUCAAAAGGGAUAAGGACCUCCAAGUGGGGCUUUUUACUUUAGUCAAAGACUGCUGCAAAACGUGAUAAGAAUUUUACAUGUUCAAGACUAUUUUCCAUAGGUUUAUUUUAGUCAAAGACUCUUGCACAUCACGUUAUGUAACAUUUCAAAGAAAUAAAUGGUGAGAGUCAACAAGAUUGUGUUAUAUAUAGUCCUCCUGUCCCAUUUUAUUUUUUCUUAUUUGAUUUUCAUGAAAUUUUAAAAAAAUUAAUUUUGAUGUAUUUUAUAUUAAAAUUUCAAAUUGUAUUAUACACGUUAUGUUCCAUGGAUUUUAAUCUCAAAAAAUUUUAAAAAAAUUAUGAAAAAUAAAUUGAAAAUGUAUCUUGUAGUACGUGUAUAACUUUGUCCUAUAAUACAAGCUGUAGUAGAUAUAUAGCCAAAAUCAUUAUCAGUACUCAAUUAUAAAAUCAAUUAAAUUGUCAUAAUCACCCCUUUGCACGGGAAAAGAAAAACGCAAGGAAAGAAGAAAAAAAGUUGCAAUAACCCUGGGAAAAUGUCCUUCAUCAGAUAUAUUAUAUACUUUGCAUUAACAUAAUCUUCUAGUCAUCAUCAUCAAUCAACAUCUGGCUUUUGUUUAUUUUUGGACUGUUUGCAGCUUGCUCUUAUCUUUUCUCACGGUCGGUGGAGCUGGCAAAGCAGACAUUGGCCAGCUACAAUAUGUUAUAUUAGAAGCUUCAGUAUUACUAGGCACUAGACAGUACAUCCUUAUUUCUCACGUCUUACAACUGAUUGGAAGGAUAAAAAACUAAAACCCACCUAAUUUCUCUUGUUUUAUAUUAAAAUGAUUGAUCCUUGUUAAAAAUCAAUCUGAAUUAUCUUUUCUUGUUUUACUCGUUGACCAGAGAUACGCUUACAAAUCAAGUGUGCCUAAUCCUAGAUUUUACUGAAGGGAAGCAAAACAGCAACAAAUGACAUUGAUUAAUGUUAAAUGGCCUAUCUAUAUCUCUUUGUCCAAAUACGCAGCUGCUGCACACUGGCUUCGGCCUUGAUUUGUAAUGAUUGCCUGGACACCUGAGGAAAUUUCAAGGCCUUUGUGCUCUCUAGUUCUUAAAAAAAUUGACCUAGAACGUCCAUAUUCAGACAUUGCAGAAACUUUUGUGCUUGGAAGUUAAUUAUACUCAGGAGAGAUUGAACUGAUAUCAAUAAUAUAUUGUCUGGAUUUAUGUGUUAAAUGCUGCUGAUGUUUUCGGUCAGGAGAGAGCUAGAGCAUUUUCAAAGGGGAGGUCAAACAGAAAGAGAUAUUAAAUAGUUAAAGAGAAUUUUAUAUAUAAUUCAAUUAUUACUUAUCUAAAAAAUUAAAUAAAAUUUAGAAAAUAUUGAACAUAUAAAAAAAUGCAUAUUAGCAGUAAUAGUAGUGUCAUUUAUAUAUAUGACUGAAUGAAACUAUAAAAAAAAUUCUCUUUUACUCUUUAUGCACAAGAGUGGAAAAGAAAAUAAUUUUUCAAACUUAAAUGAAUUGCCUCUUAACUUUGUGUGUCUUAACUCUCAUUUUAUUUUCUAUUUACUUCUUAAAUUGCUAAUUAACAUAUUAAGUUAUUAGAUUAAACUAUUAAAAUAUAAUAUGUUUGUCGUAACGUGCGGGUCCGAGAACCCGUCCGCCAGACGCUGGCGAAAAUAAAUCGGUUUAGGAGUCGCCACCAAUAUUUUUUUUUAUCUAGAUGUGAUUGGUCACCUAUUAACCAGAUUCUAAUCGACAAAGUCCUAAAUUAAUUUUAGGUCCGUCGAAAGAACGAGAACUGAUCUACGUUUUUUAGAGAUAGGUUCGGGAGUGCGGUUACGCACGGAGAAUGGUUAGCACCUCCGUGGCACCCGUUCCACGAACGGUACCAUUUAAUCUUAAGUUAUCCUAUUAUAGCCUACUUUUGAUUUAUUCCCUACUUAUUAACUAAAUUUUUAUUAAACUGACUGCCUGAAUCUUUUAUUUGGUUUUACAUAUGCACGUGAUGCAAGCGUAAAAUGAUGUCAUGACUCGUUUAUUUUAAAUAAUGGGAUCAGUAAUCUUUUAUUGAAAAAUUAUUUGAAGACCAUCCCAACGCUUUGGUGAAGUCUUGAAAUUCUCCUCACCUAGAGAUAUCCUGGGAAGAACUCAUCUUUACAAGCUCUUCGGGGAAAUCCCAUCAUCGGAAUUUUCGCACCAUUUGCAAGAUAAAUGUGGCGUGCUAUGACAGGAUAAAGUGAUGAUGUCUACAUGCACGCGUUUAUUGACUUAAGCGGUUCAUAAUUCAUCCAAUUAUGUGUUUAAUAAUUUAUCACCUUAUUUAUAUAUUUAUUUUGUCAUUUUUUUUCAUGGAUUAUUUAUUUAUUUUAUUAUUAUUAUUAUUUUUUGUUUUUAUUUUCUAUUUAGAUCCAUAUCUUUUAAUUAACAUUGUUGAUUAACAUUUAACUUGAUUAUAUAACUUAUCAAAUAAACAAUUAAUUAAUUUUUUCAAACGAUUAAAUUAACUUUAUUUAGUAAUAUUUAUUUAAGCUAAUUAACUAAUUUAAGUUUGGAUGCAACAUUAUGUAAAUUUAUUUUUUUUUUAACAAUGACUAUUUGACUUAAUAGGUAUUGGAGUUUAGAGUUCGGAUUUAUCCCGACGCUUCAGUGAAAAUCCGUCUCAAACUUCGCACAAAAAAAAAAUCCACUUAAAAAAAGCAACUCUUUGCCUUUCUUAGGUGGAGUUUCUCAAACAAUUAUCUUAUUUUUCUUAUAAUUUUUAUAUUCGUAUCAUGUUACUGUUUUUUUGUUUUUUUUAUUUAUAUAUAUAUAUAUAUAUAUAUAUAUUAUAUUUACAAGUAUCUAAAUAUGAAUAUUUCUUUCUUUUUUUUUAUUCCUCUCAUUUGUUUAUUAUCAUUACUAUUUUUAACAUAAACUAAACCUAUGAUUAGUUUUCUUAGUAUUUAUUUUAUGUAUAUAUGUAUAUAUGUUCUUCUAAACUAUGUAUCUUUACUAUUUUUUUUAUUAUGACUAUCAUUGUUUUUUUAUUUUUUUGUUAUUUCUAUUCUUAUUCAUUUAUUGAUUUUUUUAGACCAAACCUAAGAACUCUCAUAAAUAUGAAUAUUGAUCCCAAUAUAUAUAUAUAUACAUAUUGUUUUUUUAUUUUUUUGUUAUUUCUAUUCUUAUUCAUUUAUUGAUUUUUUAGACCAAACCUAAGAACUCUCAUAAAUAUGAAUAUUGAUCCCAAUAUAUAUAUAUAUACUAUUACAACCAUUAUCAUCUCUUUUUAUUAUUUUUUUUGUUUGAAUAUUUGUUUUUAUUUAUUUUUUUAUCAAAUAUUUACUCAUAUUUUCAUUUACCACUUUAUAUUUUAUUGUUAUUUUUCUACUUUAAAAUAUCAUAUAAUCUCUACAUAAUAUCUUUUUUAUCUUAAUUAAAUUAUUCUUAUGCUCAUAAUAAUAUGUUUUAAACAUAAACAAUUGAGUCACCACAAUAAAUAAAAAAAAUAUUAUAGUAAAAAAGCAUGCAAGUUAGAUCUUACCUUAUGUAGAUUUAGAUUAGCUCAAAAAGAAUAGAAUUAUGUGGGCCAAGGCAAGCCACGUACAACAACUUGCUCUCCAAAAAAUGCCGUGAAGAGUCCCUUCUUGUUACAAAUCUCUACCUCAUUUCUCCUUUUUUUUUUUUCUUUCUUUCUCUCCCUUAUUUCCUUCUUCCUUUCCUUUCUCUCUCCCCGUCGACUUCUUCUUUCUUUUUCUUUUUUUUUCUUUUUUUUUUCUUCUCUUCCUCUCCUUUCCUUUCUCUCUCCCCGCUGGCUUCUUCUUUCUUUUUCCUCUUUCUUUCUCCUUCUCUUUCUCUCUUUUCUCCCUGCCGGCGUCACACCCUUCUCCUCUUCUCUCUUCCUCUUCUCUCUAUCGUCUUCUUCCUUUUUUUUUUUGCUCUAUUUUUUGUGUUUGAUUGUGGUUCUUCGGCUGCUAGAGACUUUUUGGUUUUUUGAAAACGUUUUUUUAUAUUGUUUUUUGGCUUUUUUUGGUUCUUCCUCUCUGAUUUUUUUUUAUUUUCCCACUUCCCCCGUUUUGCAGGUUGUCCAUCUUUUGAGGUCAGGUUGUCCAAAAAUUUGGACAACUCGGUAAUGGGGUUCUACACCAAAAAGUUGAUAGUCAAAACCCCCAUCAUUUAAGGUGGUUCCUUCUCUUUUUCUUUUUUAAUUAUUUUAUUUUAUACUUUAUUUUAUUAUAAUUUUUUAUUUUUUUGAGGUAUCUACUUAUGAUAGAUUAUUAGAUUGGACGGUUAAGAUAUAAUAUGUUAUGAGAAGCUUAGAUUUAUAUUAAAAUUUAAUAGAUUUGAAUUAGUAGAUUCACUUUUAUUUUUUUGUAAAUUUGAUAGGCUUAACAUAUUAGUUUAAAAUUUAUUUAUUGGGUUUAACUAGCAAUAUGGUAACCAUAAUAACUCUAAUUUUGCCAAACAGUAUGAAAAAUAAAACUAAUUAUUAAAUUAAAAAUUAUUUUGAGAGCUAUUAAAAAUAAAUAUAAUAAAUAAAUAUGUAUUGAAAAAAUAUAAUUAUUUCAUUCUAUCAAUUUGUAUGUAUAAUCUUAUUACUUAAAAUUUGUAACAUACGUACUAAAAUGUAUUGGUUAUUUUGAAUAAAAAAUAAUAUAUUGAUGAAAUUUUAAGUCACAAUACAAUACUGCAACGUAUAUUUAAAAAUUAUAUAAUAAUUUAUUUAUUUUUAAAAAUUAAAAUCAUAAAAAAUAAUAUCUAGAUAAUAGAAAAAAAAACAUGAAAAGUAGAAAAUAAAAUCCAUAUAUAAUAUAAUAAAAGAAAAAAAAUAUGAUUGUUGGUACGUUAAAAUUUGUGAAAGAAAAUUUAUAAAGAUUUAAAAUAUAUGAGAAGAACUAGGUUUCCCAGGUGAACGCUGCAUCAGGAGCAGGGAUAUCAUUCCGCAGUAGGGCAGUACCAGUAUACGUUUGUGAUUUAAGCUUUGAACCACUUUAAACUGAAAGGCUCUGACAGCAUAUCAAGAACCACCCGUUUUGGAUUGAGAAAUAAGGAUCCAAAAAUAGUUACCAUACAUUUAACAACUAUUAUCACAUCGCUGAUAAUUAAAUGCUAUAGUACAUUGAAUACCGUUACUGAAGACUAUUUAACAUUUUACCAUCUUGGACACUAAUAGCUGCACACUCCAGAAUAAGCUAUACUAACCUAGAAGCAGCUAGUCUUAUUAAGAACUUUAGGCACCACUCUGUAGUGAAUGAAGCAUUACUUGAAUUCCAUGUUGUGGCUGAAGCUUAAGUAUAGUAAAUGGAGAGUGAACAUAGGCUGGGGAGAGAGUAAAGGUGUAACGUUGUAGAAUCAUUGAGAGAGCAGUCUUUGUUUCGGUGGUUGCAAAGCUCAUACCCACGCAAGAUCGAGGUCCCAAUGAAAAAGGAAUGAAUGCAGCCGCAUUGUAUUUGGUAGCUUUGGCAGUCCCUUCUGCGAGCUUAUCUGGUUUGAAAAGAUUAAAUAGAUUGAUUAUAUUAUCAAUUGAAAAAAAAAUAUUAGAAAAAUUUGAUUAUAAAAAUUUAAUUAAAAAUUUUGCAUAUCAAAAAGUUAGAAGAAUAAAAUUUUAAUAAUUUUUUUUAAUUUCAAUAAAAAAACCUCAUUUGAUUAUUUUGCUUUAAAUUUUUGAACUUAUUGAGCCGCCUUUGGCCAUAUCAUUUUCAUAAUUCGUCAAGUUACUCUAUCAAGAUACAUUCCCAAUCCCCUAUGCUUUACAUCAUUUCUUUCAACCCAAAGAAACUAAGAAAUUACAUAUUAAAUGUAGCUGGUUUUGUCCAUACUGGUUAUCAGCGGAGUAAAGGGUUUUAAGGAAAAAUACCAAUUUAUCAUUAUAAGGUGAUUCAAUACUGAAUUGUGUCAGCUCAUGGAAUAUGACGGAAAAUAAGGCUAUGGCUUUUGUCAGCUCAUGAAGGAGUAAUAGCUACAUUGGCUGUAUCACCUGUGAAAAGGGCUGGUUUCUUCUGCCAGGCAUGAUCACAAGUUUGUCAAAUUGUGGAAGUGAUACGAUUGCUAGCAGAAUUCCCAAGUUUUAAUCCACAACAAUUGUUGGUUUGUAGCUGUUCAGCUUGCUUAAAGGUGUCCAUUUUGUGGUUUGUCCCAAUGCUCAAAGAUUUUUAUUCACCAUGCCAUGAGGUUAUUUGGUUCAUGAUCUUCACAAAAUGACUACAGGAAUUUAGAAGCUGAGAAGCCUUAGAUUGUUUACUAGGAGCGGAGCUGGGAUAUACCAGGGUUUAGUACUCAAAAGAAGAUAAUCUUGUUUCUUUGUUGCCAAUACAUGAAACCCCUAAUACUUGUAUCAUCAGAAAUGGCCGGUAAAUACAGUUAAAUGGAAGAAAAUAAUCAGAAACUGGUUAUCAUUAGUUUGUAAGAUUUCUUAAAAAAAACUGUACAAAUUUCCAGAAAUCAAAAGAGCAAAAUGAUGAACAAAAACAGAGUUGAGAGAAGAAACAAGUCUGUAUAUGGAUCAAAAUUGAUGAAAUAACGGCUGCUCAGAUGAAAGAGAAAGAAGGCCGUUGGACUACACAAACAAAGAGAGAACGAAAACGACGCGAUUGAAGGAAAGAAACAAACAUUGAACAAACGACACAACAAGUCGUCGUAUGCUCCUGUAAACAGAACAGACAAGAAACGACAGCCAAGGACACCGUUUAAGCACCCCCAACAAGCAAAUCAUAAAACGACACAGGUGACCCCCGUUUCACAAACUCAAAUCGAUGAAGGCAUAUGCGGCACCACUUUGCACAGCCCUGAACCCUUCUUCAACUUAUUUAAAUUCCAACUGCUUCCCGCCAUUAGUUAUUUAUAAUUAGUUAUUAUUUAUAAGUUUUUGCCAGUUCUGAUCAGGCGGGCUGGUCAAAAUUGUAAAGUAGUUGUAAAUACUUGCAAAGAUACCAUUGUUAGAGGUCUGGUUAUAUGUCAUGGCGCAUAUUUGAGAAUGGAGUUCAUGCUGAUUAAUCGUGUGCAAACUGUGAUGUCCACAUUUAUUGGAUUUUGAGAGGGCUAUGAACUCGACUGAAUGGCUUCUGUGUUCAGUAUAUAAACUGAAACAGGGGACUGUACUCCCCAACAAACUUGCUGGAAAUAAUUUUAUAGUUGCUUAACAGGGGAGAUCACCGUGAAAGCCUGUGCUGUUUAUACCAUUUAGUUUAGUUUUAGUAUGUGGUAAUCUUGAUGCUCCUUCUGCCUAAUGAGCAAGCCAGAGCUGGUUCCCGGGUUCACCUAGUCCUGUACUGUGUAUAAAGAGAAUUUUGAAUAUAAAUCAAUAGUAUGCCAUAAUUUAGUAUGAUUUCUUACCAUUUUAUUUAAUUUUUUCAGGGUAAAUUUAUAACUAAUGUCAAUCUUUACCAAUAAUGGAGCCAAGGUUUAUGCUCAAUCUGGGUAAAGUUAUUUCUCCUUCUGCAAGUCUCUCUGGUUUGAAAACAUGAACAUCUUCAACCAUAUCUCAGGGUCAUGGUGAAGUGCUGGAGUUGAAAUGAACAAUUCAGUAUUUUUCUUCUUGGAGAAUUUUGUUACAGAAAAAAAGAUGCCUGGACAAUCAUACGGAUCUCUAAUCAAGAUCUACAACAAUAUCAGAAUAUAAGAGGAAAUAGUACUCAGAGGAGCACCAUCUUCAUACUUGAUUGCUUAAACAUUUUGUUCCAAUAUCAUCAUUUACUAUUACAUGGAUAGAAACAAGGACAAAUUAAUCAACAUCACUGACUGGGGUGAGUUACUGGCUGCGGCCUCUGUAAGCAACUGAUCUACAAGGCAUUAUUCCAUUGACAACUCUAGGCUUCAUUCUACAGAGAAUGAAGUAUUACCUGAAUUCCAUGUUGUGGCUGAAGCAAAGGAAGGUAAUAUGGUGAGUGGCUGUAGGCUGGGCAAAGGGAAAUGGUGUAUCGCUGUAGAAUCAUGGAAAGAGCAAUCUUUGUUUCUGUAAUUGCAAAGCUCAUACCGACACAAGAUCGAGGUCCCAAUCCAAAGGGAACAUAUGCAGCUGCAUUAUGUUUGGUGGCAUUCGCGAUCCCUUCUGCGAAUCUCUCAGGUUUGAAUAGAUUGACAUCAUCUCCCCAUAACUGAGGGUCAUGGUGAAGUGCCAUGAUUGGGACAACCAAAUGUAAAUCAGCUGGCAGGAUGAGCUUUCCCAAUUGAACUUCUCGUCCAACUCUCCUUACGAUGCGAUUUAAAGGAGGAUACAACCGUAAAGUUUCAUUGAUGAUCAUGGUCAUCUGUUUACAGAUUAGAAAUCAAAGGUAUCAAAUUAUAAAUUCCCAGUUUAAUACCCUGAAUGCUCAUAACUAGUGUAUGCUAUUAAAGUGGUUAGAGCUUGAAAUUUGCUUACAGUUUUUAGUUUGGCAAUCCCUUCAGGAUGUGGAUCUUGAUUACCAAAUUCCUCAAUCAUUUCUCUUCUUGCUUUCUCUUGCCAAUCUGUAUGGAUUGCCAAAAGCAGGACUGUCCAUGCGAGCAAGGAAUUAGUUGUUUCUUGUCCAGUAAAGUAGAAUGUUUUACACUCAUCAACCAAAUCUUCUACGAAGAGCCUGUUUUUCUCGUCCAAGUCAUGAUGGGCAUUUAGAAGUAAUCCCAGAAAAUCACUGCCAAAGCUCUCAGCUUCUCCAGCCACUACUUUCUCUUCUCUUUUUUUAACAAUCUUCAGCACAGAAUCAUGUAUUUCUUUCGCAAGUUUCUCCGAUUCAAUUUCAUCAGCAUGUUUCCAGACGUAGCUACAAAAGCAAACCAAAGUCUGCCUUAUAUAUGGAAAAAUCUAGAAUAGAAAAAAAAAAUCCUCUCAGACCUACAGCUUUAUGCAUAGAAUAGAGCCUUCUGUUUAUUAUUCUCCAGAGUAAAGUUUAGAGGAACUUACCUGAUGCCAGGUAUCCUGGCUUUAUAAAGAUUUCUGAUCGCGAUUUCUGACAACUUCAUCAACGUCUCAAAAAUCUUCUCGCCCUCCAGGUAACUGCUACCAAAAGCUGUUCUGGAUAUCACUUCUGAAGUCAAUAAUCUAAAUUCCUGGAACACUUCGAUCUCCUUCCCUUCCCGGCCUUUCCACUUCUGUAGCAUUGUUUCAACGCUAGCAAUUACUGCUGGAGUCAUGUUCUGCCAAAACCAUCCUCCACUUUGUAAGCAUCACUAUAGGAAGAUCACCAAAAUUUUAGUUUGCAAAUGUUCAAGUACAAUCAAUAAUUCAAUCACCAAGCCUAUGACAGCAAAAACUUAUAGGACAGUGGUUUUCA
rnacentral:lncRNA from 1 species